UGGGGAAUAUUGCACAAUGGGCGCAAGCCUGAUGCAGCCAUGCCGCGUGUGUGAAGAAGGCCUUCGGGUUGUAAAGCACUUUCAGCGGGGAGGAAGGCGAUAAGGUUAAUAACCUUGUCGAUUGACGUUACCCGCAGAAGAAGCACCGGCUAACUCCGUGCCAGCAGCCGCGGUAAUACGGAGGGUGCAAGCGUUAAUCGGAAUUACUGGGCGUAAAGCGCACGCAGGCGGUCUGUCAAGUCGGAUGAGAAAUCCCCGGGCUCAACCUGGGAACUGCAUUCGAAACUGGCAGGCUAGAGUCUUGUAGAGGGGGGUAGAAUUCCAGGUGUAGCGGUGAAAUGCGUAGAGAUCUGGAGGAAUACCGGUGGCGAAGGCGGCCCCCUGGACAAAGACUGACGCUCAGGUGCGAAAGCGUGGGGAGCAAACAGG
rnacentral:rRNA from 1 species